AAGGUUUCCGUAGGUGAACCUGCGGAAGGAUCAUUACCGAGUGCGGGCUGCCUCCGGGCGCCCAACCUCCCACCCGUGACUACCUAACACUGUUGCUUCGGCGGGGAGCCCUCUCGGGGGCGAGCCGCCGGGGACUACUGAACUUCAUGCCUGAGAGUGAUGCAGUCUGAGUCUGAAUAUAAAAUCAGUCAAAACUUUCAACAAUGGAUCUCUUGGUUCCGGCAUCGAUGAAGAACGCAGCGAACUGCGAUAAGUAAUGUGAAUUGCAGAAUUCAGUGAAUCAUCGAGUCUUUGAACGCACAUUGCGCCCCCUGGCAUUCCGGGGGGCAUGCCUGUCCGAGCGUCAUUGCUGCCCAUCAAGCCCGGCUUGUGUGUUGGGUCGUCGUCCCCCCCGGGGGACGGGCCCGAAAGGCAGCGGCGGCACCGUGUCCGGUCCUCGAGCGUAUGGGGCUUUGUCACCCGCUCGAUUAGGGCCGGCCGGGCGCCAGCCGACGUCUCCAACCAUUUUCUUCAGGUUGACCUCGGAUCAGGUAGGGAUACCCGCUGAACCUAAGCAUAUCA
rnacentral:misc_RNA from 1 species